CCUACGGGAGGCAGCAGUGGGGAAUAUUGCACAAUGGGGGAAACCCUGAUGCAGCGACGCCGCGAGAGUGAAGAUGCAUUUCGGUAUGUAAAGUUCUAUCAGCAGGGAAGAAAAUGACGGUACCUGAUUAAGAAGCCCCGGCUAACUACGUGCCAGCAGCCGCGUUAAUCCGUAGGGGGCAAGCGUUAUCCGGAUUUACUGGUUGUAAGGGGAGCGUGGACGGCAGCACAAGUCUGGAGGGAAAUGCCGGGGCCUAAGCCCGGAACUGCUUUGGAAACUGUGCAGCUAGAGUGCAGGAGAGGUAAGUGGAAUGCCUGGUGUAGCGGUGAAAUGCGUAGAUAUUAGGCGGAACACCAGUGGCGAAGGCGGCUUACUGAACUGUAACUGACGUUGAGGCUCGAAAGCGUGGGGAGCAAACAGGAUUAGAUACCCGUGUAGUC
rnacentral:rRNA from 1 species